GAUGAACGCUGGCGGCGUGCCUAAUACAUGCAAGUCGAGCGAACAGAUGAGGAGCUUGCUCCUCUGACGUUAGCGGCGGACGGGUGAGUAACACGUGGAUAACCUACCUAUAAGACUGGGAUAACUUCGGGAAACCGGAGCUAAUACCGGAUAAUAUAUUGAACCGCAUGGUUCAAUAGUGAAAGACGGUUUUGCUGUCACUUAUAGAUGGAUCCGCGCCGCAUUAGCUAGUUGGUAAGGUAACGGCUUACCAAGGCAACGAUGCGUAGCCGACCUGAGAGGGUGAUCGGCCACACUGGAACUGAGACACGGUCCAGACUCCUACGGGAGGCAGCAGUAGGGAAUCUUCCGCAAUGGGCGAAGGCUUGACGGAGCAACGCCGCGUGAGUGAUGAAGGUCUUCGGAUCGUAAAACUCUGUUAUUAGGGAAGAACAAAUGUGUAAGUAACUAUGCACGUCUUGACGGUACCUAAUCAGAAAGCCACGGCUAACUACGUG
rnacentral:rRNA from 1 species